GAUGAACGCUGGCGGCGUGCUUAACACAUGCAAGUCGAGCGAUGAAGUUUCCUUCGGGAAACGGAUUAGCGGCGGACGGGUGAGUAACACGUGGGUAACCUGCCUCAUAGAGUGGAAUAGCCUUCCGAAAGGAAGAUUAAUACCGCAUAAUGUUGAAAGAUGGCAUCAUAAUUUAACCAAAGGAGCAAUCCGCUAUGAGAUGGACCCGCGGCGCAUUAGCUAGUUGGUGGGGUAACGGCCUACCAAGGCGACGAUGCGUAGCCGACCUGAGAGGGUGAUCGGCCACAUUGGGACUGAGACACGGCCCAGACUCCUACGGGAGGCAGCAGUGGGGAAUAUUGCACAAUGGGGGAAACCCUGAUGCAGCAACGCCGCGUGAGUGAUGAAGGUUUUCGGAUUGUAAAGCUCUGU
rnacentral:rRNA from 1 species